CUGAAUUUGACUGGUGACCUCUGAGCUUCCUGUACCUGAGUGCUAUCAUCUUUCUUCAGUUUGAAAAUCUUUCAGCUAUAAUUUUAAAAAUAUGACCCUUUUCUUUCUCAUCUUCUUCAGGAAUUCUUAUUAUAUGAAGGUUAGUUUGCUUGAUGGUAUCCUAUAAUCCUUUUUAAUUCUUCUUUUCUGAUGGGUAAUUUCAUAUGUCCUCUCUUCAAGUGUAUUGAUUAUUUCCUCUGAUUAAACAUGCUAUUGAGGCUUUAUAAUGAGCUUUUUCAGUUUAGCUAUUAUAUCCUUUAUGUCUAAGAUUUCAAUUUUUAUGUGUGUUUUUACAUUUUUUUCCUUUGUCAAUUUUCUCAUUUUGUUCCUGGAUUGUUUUUCAAAUUUCAUUUAACUUUUAAAUCUAUACUCUCUUGUGCUUCCCUGAACUCUUUAAGAAGAUUUUUCUGAAUUCUGUCAGACAUGUUGCAAUUAUUUGGGGUCUAUUACUGGAGCUUUGUUGAUUUCUUUUGAUGGUAUCAUAUUUCCCUGAGUUUUCACAAUCCUUGUAUCUUUACAUUGAUGCUGCACAUUUGAGGAGAUGGUCACCUCUUCCAGCUUUUACAGUCAUUCUUUGGUGGUGUUAGACCUUUAGUGCUUAAUAGUGUAACUUAGUCACUGGUCUGCUGUUGCUUCCUGGUCUGGGGAAGCCUUAAGAGAGUGCUAGAAUUUAAAGGUUGUUUAAAAGGAAAAAACCUUUUAGUUGUUUCCAAGUGAGAAGAAGAUUCCACAUUAGCACUGGGCUUUGUGGGAAAUCUAACCAGAGAUUCAGGCUUUCCUGUGGGUUUUGCCUUUAGUAAGACUGUUGCAUCAUCCAGUUUUCUCAGUGUGGCAUCUCUGCUGAUUGGAGCAGAGCAGCUGCAAGGUCUGCAUGUCAGUUUCAGCAAUCAGCACCUCCGCUUUUCGUCCCCAGUUCACCCCUGGUGUUUCAGCCCACCUGGUCCUCACAGUGGUUCAUGAGACAGGACCAGAGUGAGCUUCUUGUGAAGAUUCUCAGACUGGUGGGGAGAUCAAACUUCCAUCUCCAAUUUUCUCCUUUUACCUUGUAAAGUGUGGGUCUAAGGAAAUUAUCUGUGAGUGGUGCUACGCCAGCUUGGGGGUGGUGCAGUCUAAUGAAGUGGGUAUUAUGAUUCCUAAUUUACUGAUGAAAGAUCAGGAGCUUGGAGACAUGGAUACUUUAUAGUUAGAAAAUACGGUACAGGAACUUAACUUUUGCCUUGGUCCCAUACUUAGAUCACUGCCAUCCACAUUGUUAAUUGGACAAGCUGAAGGAAUACCUCUGUUUAAAGGUCAGAAAUUCCCUCACAUGUAGCAGGUGAUACUAACCUUCAAUGUUCUCACCCUUGAGUAACAAUGCUAGCUUUGCCAUACUUCAAGGUGAGUGAAUGUAGUCAGUUUUUCAGUAAGCGCAAGAUGAUGGGACUGAUGUAUUCCAGGAAAAUGGGCAAAAUGGGUAGAAACACAUACACAGUCUUGGGAAACCUUUAGCUUUUAUUCUUUCCUAAUAUAGAGCAUAUUUUCUGCAAAAAUUAUGAGUUAAAUAUACUUUAAUGAAGAUAAGGUAUUUAAAAUAUAAUUAUGACAAUUUAAAAAAUCUUAUCAAUACAGAAGGAAAAAGAGCCAGUAAACAAAAACAAUAAAAACAAACAAAAAAUAAAUGAAAUAAGAAUAAAAUCUUCUCAAGUUCUAGAUAGUCUAUUCAUUUCUUUUCUUUUCCAGGUGGAAGCUGCCUGGAACAACUGCUGGAAUGAGGCUCCAGAGUGGAAGGUGGAAGCUCCUUCUUGGGAUAAAGGAUCCAGAGCUUAAAAAAAAAAAAAAAGGUAGUUUUA